UACGUAGGGUCCGAGCGUUGUCCGGAAUUAUUGGGCGUAAAGGGCUCGUAGGCGGUCUGUUGCGUCGGGAGUGAAAACUUACAGCUUAACUGUGAGCGUGCUUUCGAUACGGGCAGACUUGAGGCAUUCAGGGGAGAACGGAAUUCCUGGUGUAGCGGUGAAAUGCGCAGAUAUCAGGAGGAACACCGGUGGCGAAGGCGGGAUCCUGGGCCAGUACUGACGCUGAUGAGCGAAAGCGUGGGGAGCAAACAGG
rnacentral:rRNA from 1 species